UACGAAGGGGGCUAGCGUUGUUCGGAUUUACUGGGCGUAAAGCGCACGUAGGCGGAUCGAUCAGUCAGGGGUGAAAUCCCAGAGCUCAACUCUGGAACUGCCUUUGAUACUGUCGAUCUGGAGUAUGGAAGAGGUGAGUGGAAUUCCGAGUGUAGAGGUGAAAUUCGUAGAUAUUCGGAGGAACACCAGUGGCGAAGGCGGCUCACUGGUCCAUUACUGACGCUGAGGUGCGAAAGUGUGGGGAGCGAAACGGG
rnacentral:rRNA from 1 species